CAAAAAUAUGAUCCAAAUAAAUAGUUAGAUCUCUUGAAUAUGUAGAUGUGAAACCGGUUCCUCUGCUUGGUUCCGGUUAACAGAUUCGAUUCUUGAAUUCAAAAGUAGAGAAAACUAAUCUAAAAAGAAGGAGAAGGUGGUGGUGCAUUACCGUUGACUUCAGGCUUGCAAGACAUCCCUAAGCUGAGAUCUCCAAAGCUGCCGUUCUCUUUCAGAUACUGACUCAGUCGACUGCACGUCAGGGAGAAGCUCGGCUUCCUGGAGAAUCUCCGAGUAGCGGCGGAAUCAGAGCAAUCCAUAGAACUUGACAUCAUUUUAACAAAGUUUCGCUCGGCUUCCUGGAGAAUCUCCGAGUAGCGGCGGAAUCAGAGCACUCCAUAGAACUUGACAUCAUUUUAACAAAGUUUCAGUUUCUGUCUUCUUCUUCUUCUUCUUUCUUCUUGCAAAUUGAGAUUUGUCACGAGGGAGAAAUGUUGGGUUGGUUGCUG
rnacentral:lncRNA from 1 species